UUCAUGAUCAAUCUACUUUCCUCUUCAAGUCGCAGAGUGUUCGAACAAAGUCGUAGAUUUCUGGGUCCGUGAUAGAUACAGCCAUGAGGAAAUCGGUGAAUCGUCCGCCGACGCCGGAUGUUAUGGAGAAUCAAGGAAAAGAGCCCACUCUUCAAGAGCUUAUAAACAUCGAGUUGAUUGAGAGAGAUUACUGGAGCUUCUGAGGGAAAGGCUAAUAGAAUGUGGGUGGAAGGAUGAAAUGAAAGCUCUUUGCAGGUAUUAUACUAGUUUUUUUUCUUUUCUUUUUUUCUGUUUUGAGGUCACCACUAUUGCCCAGUUACUUUCUUUACACCUGAACUCCUUGACCCACAUCUGCUUCUA